rnacentral:rRNA from 1 species
UACGUAGGGGGCAAGCGUUGUCCGGAUUUAUUGGGCGUAAAGAGCGUGUAGGCGGCCUGGAAGGUCAGCUGUGAAAACUCGAGGCUCAACCUCGAGACGUCGGUUGAAACCGCUUGGCUAGAGUCCGGAAGAGGAGAGUGGAAUUCCCGGUGUAGCGGUGAAAUGCGCAGAUAUCGGGAAGAACACCCGUGGCGAAGGCGGCUCUCUGGGACGGUACUGACGCUGAGACGCGAAAGCGUGGGGAGCGAACAGG